rnacentral:rRNA from 1 species
UACAGAGGUGGCAAGCGUUGUUCGGAAUUACUGGGCGUAAAGGGCGCGUAGGCGGUCUUGUAAGUCUUGUGUGAAAUCCCUCGGCUCAACUGAGGAACUGCACGGGAUACUGCGAGACUUGAGUUCGGGAGAGGGAAGCGGGAAUUCCGGGUGUAGCGGUGGAAAAUGCGUAGAUAUCCGGAGGAACACCGGUGGCGAAGGCGGCUUCCUGGACCGAUUACUGAGCUGAGGCGCGAAAGCUAGGGGAGCAAACGGG